rnacentral:lncRNA from 1 species
AUUGUAGAGACCAAAUAAGUCAUGAAGCUAGUAAGUUAUGAUGCAAAAGCCCUUAGAAAAUUUCCUGGCAUAUAGUGAGUGCUAUAUACAUUUGCUUGUAUUAUAAUUCACUAUUAUGAAAGGACAAAUUCACAUGGGCAAAAGGGCACAAUGCCAGUUGGGCAGAUAGGCUGGUUAUUGAAGGUCAUCAGCCAAGUGACACCAAAGCAAACUUUCCUCUUUGUAUCUUCUUAUUUAAUGAAAAUCUUGUGGUUUUUUUUGUUUUUUGUUUUUUGUUGUUUUUUUUUUUGUACUGCAGAACAAGUAGAACUACAACUUAAUGCUUCAAAGUGACACAACCCAUUUCAUCUUUUUGAAAGAUGGUUCACUGAUAUUUCUGAUAUGAUUUUCUUCCCUUUGGGAAGUGAAAGGGCAAUCUCCCCAAGCCUCGGUGUCCUCAUUUGUAAGACAGAAACACAUAUCCCCUCUUCCAGGCAUUGUGACAGAGACUAAGUAAGAUGAGGUCUACAGGACACUAACACUGAGCCUGCUCUGCCGUGGGGGGCAUCGCACCUUCUGCUUUGUUUCCUGGAGAAAGACCCUUAUCCCCCACUGACUGCCUGGCACAGGCAAAGGCAGCAGGCAGCCGUGCGCCCCUGGCGUGGUCUCAUAACAGGGAGCUUUGCCCAGAGGAGAAGCUGCCUGUUCAUCCUCAGCAGCUCAGUGGCCUCUCUGAGCUGGCCCUGAUUCCAGAAUUGGCUGCGGGCUACUCAAAGGAGCAAAGGCCACCGGGAGAGUGGAAGGAGAGCUCCCACAAAGCUCUGAAGCCCAGCCAGGAUGCGGGACCAGCCUCCUCCCUGCUCAGGAAGUCUCCCUAAGGGGAAGAUGCGAAGAGGAUCUGCGACAGGCAGAUGAGGGGCAACUGAGAGCCAGCAUUUCUAUCAACAGCUUAAUUUGUUGCGUUCUUGUCAGCCCUGGUGGCUGGCAGCGAGGAUAAUUUGAAAUGAAGAAUGUUUUUCAAGGAGGAGCAAGAGUCCCUCAUCUGAAACUAAUUUGUCGUCCAAAAUUGUACAGCAGAAGUUGUUUAGAAGCUGCAGAUUAAGUUGUGCACAAAAAUAUAGCCAACUCUUGAUUAUCCACACUCAUGGAUAAUCCAAAAACAACAGAUACCUCAAAUGAUUUCUAUUUGGUUUCAUAAUGCAGGAUUAUUUCCCCUCAACAUGUUUAGUUUUCUGCAUUUAAUUGUCUUCAGGGUAUAGCCAGAGAGCUAGGGGAUCUAUAACCUUCUGUUAAUUGCAAAACAACCAAGGUUUCAGCACACCCUGCAAUGCAGAAGUGGCUCGGAUGGCAUUUAUAAAAAAAUAAAAAUACAAUGCAGGAGAAUAAAAAAGGAAAUCUGUUGGAUUUUUAUCCUUUCUACAUAGACCCAGGAAGGGUGAUUAAGAGUUUAAGUUCUGGAGUCAGAUGCCCAAAUUCAAAUCCCAGCUCUGUCUCUUACUACAUGCGAUUUGGAGCACUUAUAUAACAUCUCACAGCCUCAGUUUUCUCAUCUGUAAACGGGUUAAUAAUAGUAGCACUAUUAUGAGGCUGUUGUCAGGAAUGAGAUAUUUAUAUAAUGUGUUUAACACACGGCCUGGCACCCAGGUCACAUUCAAUGGAUAUAAAUUAAUACCAGUAAAUGUUAGUUACAACCAGGUCUCGGCACACUGAGUAGCUGCUCUCCUGAAACUAAGGGUUCAAUAGCAUCUCGUGGAACUCAGUGAGGGACCUCAGGGUCUGUGGACAGUGUGCGGCUCUUCCAAGCCCCCAGAGUGGGGAUGACCCAGGUUUCAGGGGAGGAGGCAGCUGGAACUGUGCAUGGGCACUAGGGAAGAGCCCAGGACAGCUGUCAGCUUCUCCGUGUGCUGAGCAAACAGGCCCACCAUCCAAUCCUAAUUAUCCUGCCUAAUGGGGUAAAGCAAUUAUGAUUCAGAGAAAAUUGGCCAUUAGCAGCUGGGAAAGCAAACAGCCUUCAAUGGCACAGCACAAACACCAGGUCAGGAGAGAGGCCCAGGUGGGCAGGGAGGAAGUGCAGGGCCAGGGGCUCCACUCCCGAGGCUGUCAUUUGGGAGAGGGGAGGGUGGAAGACCUUCACCUUGCUCCUUGCUCAGAUGUGUGUCUGAGAAGAGGGGCAUGGAAGAAGGCAUACAGAACUGCCCAGGUGGGCAAAUGAGAGUGAGGACACAAGGAGAGCUGUCCUGGAGCCCAAGGUCCCAGAGUUCAUCUCAGCCAUCCACCCGCCUCUGAAGGUCAAGGAACCCAAAACAGCUUAAUAUCAGGUCAAGGUGAAGUUUCAGAAUAACACUUAUCCUAGAGUAAGCUGACCUGGAUUCUAGGUCUGGCUCUGCCAGGAACUUAAUAAUAGUAGUAAUAAUAACAGCAGUAGUAAUAGGAGGAGCAACAGCUUAUGAGCUAGGUACUGUAUUAAGCUUUUUACGUGGACAAUCCCAUUUAAUCCCCACAAACUUUAUAAGCAAGAUAUUAAUUUUGCCCAUUUUACAGAUGAAGGAAUGAGUCUCCACCUGAAAAUAAAUUGCUUUAAUUACACAGCUAAUAAGUAAGUGAUCUAGGAUUCGAACCAAAGUCCUUGUGAUUCCCAAGUGCCUGUUUUUAACCACCCUCCUGGGCCAGUAAUUCAGCAGGACAAGCUCAGUUGCUUGAUCUGUAAAAGGAAGAAUUUCUAGUCCAAAACUGCAUGAAAUCCAGAAAGAGGACUGCCAGUGAUGGGAGCUGCUGCCUCCCACCUCCUGCCUCCUGCCUAUGGGUGGGGCCAACCAGCUCAAUGCAGAGUCAAGGGCUCAGGAAGCCAGGCUGGAAGAGAUUAGCAGUGGAGUUCCUGUUGUGGCUCAGCAGCUAACAAACCCAACCAAUACCCACAAGGACUCGGGUUCCAUCCCCGGCCCCACUCAGGAGUUAAGGAUCCAGCGUUGCUGUGAGCUGUGUGGUAGGUUGCAAAUGCAGCUCAGAUCCUGCAUUGCUGUGGCUGUGGUGUAGGCCAGCAGCUACAGCUCCAAUUCAACCCUUAGUCUGGGAAACUCCAUAUGC